UCCCCCCCCCUUUUCUUUUUAGACAGACUACAUUUUUCCCCAGUUUCAUGUCUUAUUCAGUCAUCUCAAACUUUGUCAGCAUUCAGGGCACCAAAACUAUUUUCAGUCUUGUAGGCUGGAAUAAAAUGGAGUCCAAGACACAUUUCAAGGGCUAUCAAAACAUUCACAAGGACUUCAAGAUUGAGAAACACCUGUUUAGACUUGCAAGAUUUACAUGUAUCAACAGACUCAUUUAAUCAAC
rnacentral:lncRNA from 1 species